UCCAGAGGGUGCAAACGUUGCUCGGAAUUAUUGGGCGUAAAGCGCACGUAGGCGGCCAUGUAAGUCAGGAGUGAAAGCCCUCGGCUUAACCGGGGAAGUGCUUUUGAAACUGCAUGGCUUGAAUACUGGAGAGGGUCGCGGAAUUCCCGGUGUAGAGGUGAAAUUCGUAGAUAUCGGGAGGAACACCAGUGGCGAAGGCGGCGACCUGGACAGAUAUUGACGCUGAGGUGCGAAAGCGUGGGGAGCAAACAGG
rnacentral:rRNA from 1 species